CCGUAAUCGGAAUGAGUACACUUUAAAUCCUUUAACAAGGAUCCAUUGGAGGGCAAGUCUGGUGCCAGCAGCCGCGGUAAUUCCAGCUCCAAUAGCGUAUAUUAAAGUUGUUGCGGUUAAAAAGCUCGUAGUUGGUUCUGCGUGCCGCGCUGUCGGUUCGCCGCCUGUCGGUGUUACUGGCAUGUCGCGGCAUGUCCUGUCGGUGGUGAAUGAAAUUCCCGGUGCUACGUAGGCUUUUAUUAGCUGAAGUAUGUGCCGUGGUGAUUUCAUUUGCCGAUUUCUCCUACUCCGGUGCUCUUAAACGAGUGUCGAGGUAGGCCGACACGUUCACUUUGAACAAAUUAGAGUGCUUAAAGCAGGCUGAAAUAUCUGCCUGAAUAGUGGUGCAUGGAAUAAUAAAAUAGGACCUCGGUUCUAUUUUAUUGGUUUUAGGAAUAUGAGGUAAUGAUCAAUGUGGACUGGCGGGGGCAUUCGUAUUGCGACGUUAGAGGUGAAAUUCUUGGAUCGUCGCAAGACGCACUAGAGCGAAAGCAUUUGCCAAGUAUGUCUUAAUUGAUCAAGAACGAAAGUUAGAGGUUCGAAGGCGAUCAGAUACCGCCCUAGUUCUAACCAUAAACGAUGCCCGCCAGCGAUCCGCCGAUGUUCCUUUAAUGACUCGGCGGGGAGCUUCUACCCGGGAAACCAAAGCUUUUGGGUUCCGGGGGAAGUAUGGUUGCAAAGCUGAAACU
rnacentral:rRNA from 1 species